rnacentral:rRNA from 1 species
UACGGAGGGUGCAAGCGUUGCUCGGCGUCACUGGGCGUAAAGCGUACGCCGGCGGCUCGAUAAGUCGGGUGUGAAAGCCCGGGGCUCAACCCCGGAAUUGCGCCCGAUACUGCCGGGCUGGAGUACGGGAGAGGGAUGGCGGAAUUCCUGGUGUAGAGGUGAAAUUCGUAGAUAUCAGGAGGAACACCAGUGGCGAAAGCGGCUUCCUGGCCCGAUACUGACGCUGAUGUGCGAAAGCUUGAGGAGCAAACAGU